UACAGAGGUCUCAAGCGUUGUUCGGAUUCAUUGGGCGUAAAGGGUGCGUAGGUGGCAUGGCAAGUCGGAUGUGAAAUCCCGGGGCUCAACCCCGGAACUGCAUUCGAUACUGCCAGGCUAGAGUACUGGAGAGGAGAUUGGAAUUUACGGUGUAGCAGUGAAAUGCGUAGAUAUCGUAAGGAAGACCAGUGGCGAAGGCGGAUCUCUGGACAGUUACUGACGCUGAGGCGCGAAAGCGUGGGGAGCAAACAGG
rnacentral:rRNA from 1 species